UACGUAGGGUGCGAGCGUUAAUCGGAAUUACUGGGCGUAAAGUGUGCGCAGGCGGCGUCGCAAGUCGAGUGUGAAAUCCCCGGGCUUAACUUGGGAAUUGCGCUCGAAACUACGGUGCUGGAGUAUGGCAGAGGGGGGUGGAAUUCCACGUGUAGCAGUGAAAUGCGUAGAGAUCGUAAGGAAGACCAGUGGCGAAGGCGAGUUUCUGGACGGUAACUGACGCUGAGGCACGAAGGCCAGGGGAGCAAACGGG
rnacentral:rRNA from 1 species